AGCUUUGCGCAGUGGCAGUAUCGUAGCCAAUGAGGUUUAUCCGAGGCGCGAUUAUUGCUAAUUGAAUAUCUGGAUAUGAGUAGAGAGAUUUCUAGGCAAGAAACCAUUGGGAAAAUAAAUAAUU
rnacentral:snRNA from 1 species